GACAGAGGGUGCAAACGUUGCUCGGAAUUACUGGGCGUAAAGCGCGUGUAGGUGGAUCGGUGUGUCAGAUGUGAAAUCCCUGGGCUCAACCCAGGAACUGCACCUGAAACUACCAGUCUUGAGUGAUGGAGAGGGAAGUGGAAUUCCUGGUGUAGAGGUGAAAUUCGUAGAUAUCAGGAGGAACACCAGUGGCGAAGGCGGCUUCCUGGACAUCAACUGACGCUGAGACGCGAAAGCGUGGGGAGCAAACAGG
rnacentral:rRNA from 1 species